rnacentral:rRNA from 1 species
UACGGAAGGUCCGGGCGUUAUCCGGAUUUAUUGGGUUUAAAGGGAGCGCAGGCGGGUGCUUAAGCGUGCUGUGAAAUGUACCGGCUCAACCGGUGACGUGCAGCGCGAACUGGGUGCCUUGAGUGAGUGCGAGGUAUGCGGAAUUCGUGGUGUAGCGGUGAAAUGCUUAGAUAUCACGAAGAACCCCGAUUGCGAAGGCAGCGUACCAGUCCUUUACUGACGCUAAAGCUCGAAGGUGCGGGUAUCGAAC